CCUACGGGAGGCUGCAGUGAGGAAUAUUGGUCAAUGGGUGCGAGCCUGAACCAGCCAAGUAGCGUGAAGGAUGACUGCCCUACGGGUUGUAAACUUCUUUUAUAAAGGAAUAAAGUGAGGCACGUGUGCCUUUUUGUAUGUACUUUAUGAAUAAGGAUCGGCUAACUCCGUGCCAGCAGCCGCGGUAAUACGGAGGAUCCGAGCGUUAUCCGGAUUUAUUGGGUUUAAAGGGAGCGUAGGUGGAUUGUUAAGUCAGUUGCGAAAGUUUGCGGCUCAACCGUAAAAUUGCAGUUGAAACUGGCAGUCUUGAGUACAGUAGAGGUGGGCGGAAUUCGUGGUGUAGCGGUGAAAUGCUUAGAUAUCACGAAGAACUCCGAUUGCGAAGGCAGCUCACUGGACUGCAACUGACACUGAUGCUCGAAAGUGUGGGUAUCAAACAGGAUUAGAUACCCCAGUAGUC
rnacentral:rRNA from 1 species